GAUGAACGCUGGCGGCGUGCUUAACACAUGCAAGUCGAACGGAAAGACCCUGCUUUUGUUGGUUUCUCGUUUGCCGAACGCGGGAGAAUCACAUGAGUAACCUGCACUUGUCUUUCUGGUAACUUCAGGAGACUCGGGAUAUUAUCGCGUAUAAUCUCCUGCUCCGUGUGGUUGGUUGGUGAAUUUCGGCUUUGGUGGAUCGUCUGGCUGCUUAUCAGCUGGUUUGGGAGGUAGUGGCGUCCCAGGCUUUUGACGGGUAGCCGGCAUGGGAGGGUGACGGGCGUCAUUGGGACUGAGAUACGGCGCAGACUCCUACGGGCGGCAGCAGUGGGGAACAUUGCACAAUGGGCGGAAGCCAGAUGCAGCAACGCCGCGUGCGGAAUGCCGGGCUUCGGGUUGUAAACCGAUUUCGAAUGUGCCGAAGAGUGCGUGACGGUAAUGGGUCAAGAAGCAACGGCUAACUACGUG
rnacentral:rRNA from 1 species